CAGAGUUCAUGCCCUCUAGGGUAGACCUCCCACCCGUGCGAACGAUACCUUUGUUGCUUUGGUCGGCCGCGGGCCUGCCCGCUACCGGCUCUGCUGGUACGCGCCGACCAGAGGUCCUAACUCCUGUUUUCUGUGCUGUCUAAGUCCCAUAUAAUCGUUA
rnacentral:misc_RNA from 1 species